GUGAGGAAUUUUCCGCAAUGGGCGAAAGCCUGACGGAGCAAUGCCGCGUGAAGGAUGAAGGCCUAUGGGUUGUAAACUUCUUUUCUCAGAAAAGAAUUAUGACGGUAUCUGAGGAAUAAGCAUCGGCUAACUCUGUGCCAGCAGCCGCGGUAAGACAGAGGAUGCAAGCGUUAUCCGGAAUGAUUGGGCGUAAAGCGUCUGUAGGUUGUUUAAAAAGUAUUCUGUAAAAGAUUAGGGCUUAACCCUAGAUAGGCAGAAUAAACUUUUAAGCUAGAGUUUGGUAGAGGCAGAGGGAAUACCCGGUGGAGCGGUGAAAUGCGUAGAUAUCGGGAGGAACACCAAAGGCGAAGGCACUCUGCUGGGCCAAUACUAACACUGAGAGACGAAAGCGAGGGGAGCAAAUGGGAUUAGAAACCCCAGUAGUCC
rnacentral:rRNA from 1 species